UGGGGAAUAUUGCACAAUGGGCGAAAGCCUGAUGCAGCAACGCCGCGUGCGGGAUGACGGCCUUCGGGUUGUAAACCGCUUUCAGCAGGGACGAAGGUUUUCUGACGGUACCUGCAGAAGAAGCACCGGCUAACUACGUGCCAGCAGCCGCGGUGAUACGUAGGGUGCGAGCGUUGUCCGGAAUUAUUGGGCGUAAAGAGCUUGUAGGCGGUCCGUUGCGUCGGAAGUGAAAACUCAGGGCUUAACCCUGAGCCUGCUUUCGAUACGGGCGGACUUGAGGGAUGUAGGGGAGAACGGAAUUCCUGGUGGAGCGGUGGAAUGCGCAGAUAUCAGGAGGAACACCAGUGGCGAAGGCGGUUCUCUGGACAUUUCCUGACGC
rnacentral:rRNA from 1 species